rnacentral:lncRNA from 1 species
ACUGAACUUAAAUAUUAAAAAUGAAUGCAAAAUGUGGAUCUGAGCGACCAACAAGAAAAAGAAAACAAUGAAAAAAUUCUCCUGCCAUAGUUGUAAAAAAAUUGUCGAUGCAGGUUGAUGCGGUUGUUCUAACAAGCACUAUGUAUGUCUCUGUGAAGGAAGCAAACAGGGUCAACGCCAAGUCAAGACAUACUCAAUAACAGGUUUUACAAGAUUAUAUAAACCAACUUAACUAAAACCAAUAAUUAGUUAGCAAAACAUAGAUUGUCUAUUAUAUUUUAAAACUCAUUAACGGUGUGACUGAAGUAAGUUUGUUACAUAAUUUCAACACUUGAUUUGUUAAAAAAUUAUCACGAAGAUUAUUUUUGAAAUAGGUUUCAGUAAUAGUGUAAUGAUCUGGUCUUCUUAAAUAGCUAUUUUAUAAUUAUUUUUUUAGGAGGAACUUGCCGUUUAAUUUUUUUUGUAACUUUUCUGAUAUUGAUCAACGCCAUUUCAAUGUUUUAUAUUUUAAUUUUGGCUAAAGCAACGAGUAUCAUACAUUAAUUUUUUUUAAUGUUAACGAAAUAAAUAGAAUUGAAUUUAACUGAGUUUAUUGAUUUCAUGUA